rnacentral:tRNA from 1 species
GGUCCUGUAGCUCAGUGGUUAGAGCGAUGGUCUUAUGAGCCAUAGGUCGCGGGUUCGACCCCCGCCGAGACUA